UACAGAGGUGGCAAGCGUUGUUCGGAAUUACUGGGCGUAAAGGGCGCGUAGGCGGCCAUCUAAGUCAGACGUGAAAUCCCCCGGCUUAACCUGGGAACUGCGUCUGAUACUGGACGGCUUGAGUGCGGGAGAGGGAUGUGGAAUUCCAGGUGUAGCGGUGAAAUGCGUAGAUAUCUGGAGGAACACCGGUGGCGAAGGCGGCGUUCUGGACUGCAACUGACACUGAGGAACGAAAGCCAGGGGAGCAAACGGG
rnacentral:rRNA from 1 species